CCUACGGGAGGCAGCAGUGGGGAAUAUUGCACAAUGGGCGCAAGCCUGAUGCAGCGACGCCGCGUGGGGGAUGAAGGCCUUCGGGUUGUAAACCCCUUUCAGCAGGGAAGAAGCGAGAGUGACGGUACCUGCAGAGGAAGCGCCGGCUAACUACGUGCCAGCAGCCGCGGUAAUACGUAGGGCGCAAGCGUUGUCCGGAAUUAUUGGGCGUAAAGAGCUCGUAGGCGGUUUGUCGCGUCUGCUGUGAAAACCCGAGGCUCAACCUCGGGCCUGCAGUGGGUACGGGCAGACUAGAGUGCGGUAGGGGAGACUGGAAUUCCUGGUGUAGCGGUGGAAUGCGCAGAUAUCAGGAGGAACACCGAUGGCGAAGGCAGGUCUCUGGGCCGCAACUGACGCUGAGGAGCGAAAGCAUGGGGAGCGAACAGGAUUAGAUACCCUGGUAGUCCAUGCCGUAAACGUUGGGCACUAGGUGUGGGGCUCAUUCCACGAGUUCCGUGCCGCAGCAAACGCAUUAAGUGCCCCGCCUGGGGAGUACGGCCGCAAGGCUAAAACUCAAAGGAAUUGACGGGGGCCCGCACAAGCGGCGGAGCAUGCGGAUUAAUUCGAUGCAACGCGAAGAACCUUAC
rnacentral:rRNA from 1 species